GCUCCGCCUCCGCGGUCCACGCCUGCUCCGCCCGCCCGCCCGCGCCCUCCCCUGCUGCUCCGGACUCCGGUGCUCGCCGGCUCGCCGCCUCGACCUCUCCUGGCUCCAUGCUGCCACGCCGUCUUCCCUCAAUCCCUCUGCUGAGUGGAGUGCUGACUGCUACCCAGAAUUGAAAUAAAAGAUGAAGAGAUUUUUCAUCCACGGCCGCAACAGAAGUGUCUACACCCGGAGUUUUAGCAGGGAAUCAAGGGGCGAGAGGACUGAAGUCAUUGAUUUGGUACUCUUUUUACUGCAUGUACUGUUCGUACUUUUUGUCAUUUUUUUAUCUAUUUUUGGUAUAUCUUUAAGCAUUGAGUUUAAAUUCAAAAUUAUUGAUACAAUUGAGCCAUAUUUGAGGUAGCUAUAGUUUGAUGGAGGUUAAGUUUUUCUCUCGCAAAAUUUUUUUUUUUGGGCCCUGGGCUUGCUCCAUUCCUGGAUCCGUCACUGAUGGUGGGGUGUUACCGGAAUCGACAAGGACCUGGAUAGGAAGGGAAACAGGGAGCAGCAGGGAGCGUGAGGUGGAUAUGAAGGCAACCAGCCAUGGGGCUGCUGGUCAACUGACGGGGCCAGGUGUGGUGCCCCAUCAGGAGCCAUGAAUUGCCUCAGUUGAAACGGUCGGGGAGUUGAAACAAACCGACAGUUCAGGAUCUGGUAGCCCUUGUUAAGGCUACCGAGGUGAGGAUAGUGUUCUUAUGUGAAACCAGGCAAAGUUCAGAAAAAGUUCGACGUCUGCGUAAUAGGCUGGGUCUCAAAGGUUUUGCUGGUGUUGAUAGUGUGGGUCUUAGUGGUGGUCUUGCAUUAUUUUGGUGUGAUCAGAUAUACGUUGAUGUCAAAGAUAUGAAUGAAAGGUUUAUCAAUGCGUA